CAUGAGCCCCUACCCCACAGAGACCUCGCCAUGAAGAGGUGAAGGAGUAGGAUUUCCUUUGAAGGAUCUGAAGUCCUUGACAGAUGAGAAGAAUAUUGAAGCUGCCUAAGAAGGUCACAGCUGGAAGGCCUGAGCAGCUUUGCUGAGGGGUAGUGGGCCCUGCUGAACAAGGUACCCUAGUGAUGCCGGAGGGUUUGGAGGGCAGGAGUGCAUGUUCUCUAACAUCUGUUAAUGUAGGCCAGAGGUAUAAAUGUCUAGAGCCAGGAGGAUUCUGCAAGCAAUUAUGUUAGACUGGCCAGUCAGCACAAUAGGGGAGUGAGCUGUGGGGAAUAGAGGGUACACAUGCAGCUGCAGAAAGCCAAAGAUUUCCUUUGCUAAUAAAGAUCUGGAAGCAGUCAUUGUACUCUGCUUCCCAAGAGGAAAGUUGUC
rnacentral:lncRNA from 1 species